rnacentral:lncRNA from 1 species
UCUUAAUAAAAUCUGUUUGGGGGACGCUCAGCUGAUGGGACCCGGCCGCGCAAGUCGGGGAGCAGCCGGGUGGGUGAUGCAGGACACCAGGCAAGGUCCCUGCUGCGGCUGGCAGGCGCACGGCUCCUCGGAGGAGGUUGGUGCGGUCUAAAAUAACACUUUUCUUUACCAAAUCAACUCGCUACCUAAGCCCACCAUCCCUGUUACCCUCUCUUCCUUCCUCCUUCAGACAAAAACCUAAAAGUGAGACGGGAGGCUUGCGGGGGGCGGUGCAAGCCCAGAAAGGGAACUGAGAAGAAAAGCGCCAGUGACAAGACACAAAAUGGAGAAAGAGGAACCGAGAGGGCACAGAAACCAGGGAAGAGCCAGGAAGAGGAGUUAACAAGGAAACUGGAAGAAUCAGAAAAGAAGUGUCAAACAGAGAUGGCAGAAUAUGGAAUACCUGUCCUGUAUCUUCCAGGAGGCUCCUUUGUUCUCCCCACCUGUCACGUGUUUCAGAUUCAUUGGUGGGGGAGGGGAGACUAUAGCCUUUCCUUUUGAAAUGUAAAUAUUAAGUCCAUCAAUCCAUGAAUAACUAUGGUUAUAUUGUAGGGGAGAUCUGGGUUCCUGGGAGGGUAGGAGAGAAACAGAUUUCUUGCAUAUUUGGCCAUUUUCCCCAGGACCCAAGUGACAGAUUCCUGGCAUCAACCAUGUUCUGUAUAAGUUGAAACACUCAUCACUCUAUAUUAAUUAUGUAUAUCUUAGUUUGUGUGCCUUGAACUUGGAUUAGUUGGAAUUCCAUGUUAUCAUAUAAACUAGAGUUCCCUCCAACUGUGAUCAGUUUCACACAAAGGGUUGCCUGUGUACCCCUGAAACAGACAUCUGGGAGGAAGGGAAUUAGCGAGAAGAUAGGCAGGGUAGAGGGUCUCAGGACACUGGUGUAGAGCAACAUCCUUGAGGAAACAGGUGCAAAGUAAUCCUCAGUGGGUUGCCAACAUCAUGUGCCUUGUUGAGCAAGCCCCAGGCAGCCCUCCCACCACACACAACAUAGGCUGGGGCCCAGAGAGGGAGGUUGCACAAGUCUUUCCCUAGAAGUCAUCCCUCAGUUUCAUAGAAUGCUCCAGUUUAAAUGAGGUUUUCAAAUGAAAUAAAUGCCCCAUGUAGGAUUUAGAUUUCA